CGGAUCAUACUUGUAAUGACACUUUGACUUCAACACCAAACUAGAUCGUCUCACUGCCCAAACAGAUGAGCUAACUGUCAUACCUGUUGUUGGUAUGGGCGGUAUAGGUAAGACAACUCUUGCUAGAAAAGUUUAUGAUGAUUCAACAAUCCGUUAUAGAUUUGAUAAACAUGCAUGGGUAACUAUCUCCGAAGUUUAUAACGAGAGACAAAUGCCUUAUGAUGAUUCAUCUAUUCGAUAUCAAUUUGAUACACAUGUAUGGGUCACAGUUUCAGAGAACUACAAUGAGAGACAAGUGCUACUAGAUGUUGUUAUGUCAAUAAGUGGGGAUAGAACUGAUGAAAGCUAUGAAACAAUGAGUCAACUAGCAGAGAUUGUGUAUAAAAGUCUAAAGGGCAGGAGAUUCCUAAUUAUCGUAGAUGAUCUUUGGAGUACUGAGGUAUGGGACCAAAUGCAAAGACUAUUUCCAAAUGAUAACAACAAAAGCAGAAUCCUAUUAACAACUCGCCUUAACUAUGUUGCUGAUUAUGCAAGCCCUGAUUUCCCCCCUCAUAGUAUGUCUUUUCUAAGUUUAGACGAUAGCUGGAAUCUGUUUACUAAAAUGCUAUGCAAAAAAGAUCUAUGUCCUCCACAACUACAAAAAAUAGGGAAGCAUAUCAUACAACAAUGUCAAGGAUGACCUCUAUGGAUCGUUGUCAUUGCUGGACUUCUUGGCAAGAUGGACCCGACACAUGAUAAUUGGAAGAAAAUUGAGGAAAAUUUGAACUCAUUCUUUGAUACGGUUUCUGAACAGUGUCAAUCAAUUCUUUCAUUGAGCUACAGCUACUUGCCCCAAUAUUUGAAGGCUUGUUUUCUCUAUGUUGGAGGUUUUCCUGAAGAUAUGGAGAUUAAUGUUUCCAAGUUGAUUAGGCUAUGGAUUUCUGAGCAGUUUAUAAAAGCAAGAAGCUAUAAGAGGUUAGAGGUGGUGGGAGAGGAGUAUUUACAAGACAUAAAUGCAAGAAGCUACAAGAGGUUAGAGGUGGUGGCAGAGGAGUACCUACAAGACUUGAUUGAUAGAAGUCUCAUUUUUGUCAUUUUCUUUAAUAAAGUUGAUGGAUUGGCAUUUGGUCUGUGGGCAAAUGACCACACAAACACCAUCCAGUCCACUUUGC
rnacentral:lncRNA from 1 species